rnacentral:rRNA from 1 species
GAUGAACGCUAGCUACAGGCUUAACACAUGCAAGUCGAGGGGCAGCAUGGUCUUAGCUUGCUAAGGCCGAUGGCGACCGGCGCACGGGUGAGUAACACGUAUCCAACCUGCCGUCUACUCUUGGACAGCCUUCUGAAAGGAAGAUUAAUACAAGAUGGCAUCAUGAGUCCGCAUGUUCACAUGAUUAAAGGUAUUCCGGUAGACGAUGGGGAUGCGUUCCAUUAGAUAGUAGGCGGGGUAACGGCCCACCUAGUCUUCGAUGGAUAGGGGUUCUGAGAGGAAGGUCCCCCACAUUGGAACUGAGACCCGGUCCACACUCCUACGGGAGGCAGCAGUGCGGAAUAUUGGUCAAUGGGCGCAGGCCUGAACCAGCCAAGUAGCGUGAAGGAUGACUGCCCUAUGGGUUGUAAACUUCUUUUAUAAAGGAAUAAAGUCGGGUAUGUAUACCCGUUUGCAUGUACUUUAUGAAUAAGGAUCGGCUAACUCCGUG